UUGACUCAUAUUAUUAUUCACGGGUUACAAUAAGCAAUCCAAAGGCAAAUUCUUGAAUUAGUGCAUUAUCUGUGCUUGGUUGACAAAGAAACUUGAGAGCAAACCAAUUAUAGAAAUAUAGCAUAACAUGUACAGAUUAUGUGCAACAUGUACAGAUUAUGUGCAACAUAUGAAUCUUUGCUAAACAGGCAUAACCCCACCAAGGGAGCUAUUGGUAACCCUUGGUGGCCUUAAAAGGGUAUUAAUAUCAAUUCAAAAAAACGUCCAUCAAGUAUCAAUAAAUAAACUGAAACUAUCAACCUAAGAGGUCUAUGUUAUCUCAUUUCACUUCGCAAGAACAAGUCAGAUAUGAAACAGGCUAUUUCGCUUAUGAAACUAGAAAUUCACUCUUAAAAAGCAACUAAUACCAACCA
rnacentral:lncRNA from 1 species